rnacentral:rRNA from 1 species
GUAGGUGGCAAGCGUUGUCCGGAAUUAUUGGGCGUAAAGCGCGCGCAGGGCGGUCCUUUAAGUCUGAUGUGAAAGCCCACGGCUCAACCGUGGAGGGUCAUUGGAAACUGGGGGACUUGAGUACAGAAGAGGAAAGCGGAAUUCCAAGUGUAGCGGUGAAAUGCGUAGAGAUUUGGAGGAACACCAGUGGCGAAGGCGGCUUUCUGGUCUGUAACUGACGCUGAGGCGCGAAAGCGUGGGGAGCAAACAGGAUUAGAUACCCUGGUAGUCCACGCCGUAAACGAUGAGUGCUAAGUGUUAGGGGGUUUCCGCCCCUUAGUGCUGCAGCUAACGCAUUAAGCACUCCGCCUGGGGAGUACGGCCGCAGGGCUG